GGAUCAUCCAUGGAUGGCUUGGAUCGCGGAAGACCAAGGGCCACGACUACAGCUUCGCGAGACAUCGGACCUCCCCGCGGCUCCCCUCCGUAGGCUGUAGCCGACGCCGUUCUCCUCCCGUGCUCCUCGCGUGGCUCUCCUCUGGCGACCUGGAAUCAGUUCGGGCGGAUGCUCUGGGUGUUCAAGGCUUGGUGUCCUGUCCCGUCUGUGCAAGAGCAAAAGUCGAUGGUACGGCUUGAAGAGGAGGAGCACCAGCAAAUGCAGAGGUGGGCACAGCCGAAGCUCGUCGGGCAGCAGCUGCAGCGACGACGCGGCAUGCGUAGCGAGAGGUUAUCGGGGGUGCCCAUCGACGGCCGAACGCACCAAGUUGCGGUGCUUCAAGCCUUACCUCCACGGCGUCAACAGCGGAUGCGGCGGCGGCAACUUGGAGUGGCUCUAGGCCAUCUCAUGAACUUCAUGUCUGAUGCUAGCUGCUCCGUGUAUUCUACAUACUCAAUCGAUUUUUAUUUUUUUCUUCUAUGUGUUAAUGUUCAUGCAUAUCAGCUGUUCGAUGAAAUAGCUAAAGGUAUCCAACUCGCAUUUUUUACCUCACUUCGAUUGGAUUCCAUUUUUCCAUCAAUCUUUGACUAUGCUUUCUUGCAAAUUAUAUAUACUGCUACAACAAAUGCUCUGUAAUUUACAAUGUUCAAAUAUUUCUGACUCCAAAACAACAAAUGAUUGCACUUUAAAACUUUCUAAUGUUGGAGUUCAUUUGACAAGAUGAAUUGCUAAUUGUGUGCCAAAUUAAUUUGAGCCUCACCAAUUAUUACUGCAGAUAGCCAUUAUAAGGAAAAAAAAUCUACUGCUGCUACAAUGAUGUAUGAACAUGAGAAAGCAAGAUGUUAUUCUAAAGACACCGUUGCUAGGAAAUGGCUGAGCAAACGAGGUCUUGCGGUUUUAUUGUUCUGAAUAGCGGCAAGCUGCGUAAUACGCUGGUUCACUCAACCAAUAUAUUUAAUAUUAUUUGGGAAACCUACCUGAUUCACUGCUGCUCCUAAAAAAGUAUUCUUAAUGCUUAUCUUUGUCUUUUACUUGCUAAAUAACAUUUCCAUUGCUUAAACAUAUCGUCACUACAUCAACUAUGA